CAGCCGCCGCGGGAAUACGUAGGGUGCGAGCGUUAAUCGGAAUUACUGGGCGUAAAGCGUGCGCAGGCGGUUUUGUAAGACAGAGGUGAAAUCCCCGGGCUCAACCUGGGAACUGCCUUUGUGACUGCAAGGCUAGAGUACGGCAGAGGGGGAUGGAAUUCCGCGUGUAGCAGUGAAAUGCGUAGAUAUGCGGAGGAACACCGAUGGCGAAGGCAAUCCCCUGGGCCUGUACUGACGCUCAUGCACGAAAGCGUGGGGAGCAAACAGGAUUAGAUACCCCCGUAGUCCCUGUCUCUUAUAC
rnacentral:rRNA from 1 species